GAUGAACGCUGGCGGCGUGCCUAAUACAUGCAAGUCGAGCGAACAGACGAGAAGCUUGCUCCUCUGACGUUAGCGGCGGACGGGUGAGUAACACGUGGAUAACCUACCUAUAAGACUGGGAUAACUUCGGGAAACCGGAGCUAAUACCGGAUAAUAUAUUGAACCGCAUGGUUCAAUAGUGAAAGACGGUUUUGCUGCCACUUAUAGAUGGAUCCGCGCCGCAUUAGCUAGUUGGUAAGGUAACGGCUUACCAAGGCAACGAUGCGUAGCCGACCUGAGAGGGUGAUCGGCCACACUGGAACUGAGACACGGUCCAGACUCCUACGGGAGGCAGCAGUAGGGAAUCUUCCGCAAUGGGCGAAAGCCUGACGGAGCAACGCCGCGUGAGUGAUGAAGGUCUUCGGAUCGUAAAACUCUGUUAUUAGGGAAGAACAAAUGUGUAAGUAACUAUGCACGUCUUGACGGUACCUAAUCAGAAAGCCACGGCUAACUACGUG
rnacentral:rRNA from 1 species